UACAGAGGUCUCAAGCGUUGUUCGGAUUCAUUGGGCGUAAAGGGCGCGUAGGCUGCGGGGCAAGUCGGGUGUGAAAUCUCAGAGCUCAACUCUGAAACUGCACUCGAUACUGCUUUGCUUGAGGACUGGAGAGGAGAGUUGGAAUUCACGGUGUAGCAGUGAAAUGCGUAGAUAUCGUGAGGAAGACCAGUGGCGAAGGCGGAUCUCUGGACGAGUUCCUGACGGC
rnacentral:rRNA from 1 species